rnacentral:rRNA from 1 species
GACGAACGCUGGCGGCGUGCUUAACACAUGCAAGCCGAACGGAAAGGCCUGCUUUCCCUUGUGGAUUGCGGGUACUCGAGUGGCGAACGGGUGAGUAACACGUGAGUGAUCUGCCCCCAACUUGGGUAUAAGCCUGGGAAACUGGGUCUAAUUCCCGAUAGGACUGCAGGGUGGUGCCUGUGGUGGAAAACGAUUUUCUAGUGGUUGGGGAUGAGCUCGCGGCCUAUCAGCUUGUUGGUGGGGUAAUGGCCUACCAAGGCGGCGACGGGUAGCCGGCCUGGGAGGGUGGACGGCCACAUUGGGACUGAGAUACGGCCCAGACUCCUACGGGAGGCAGCAGUGGGGAAUAGUGCACAAUGGGCGGAAGCCUGAUGCAGCGACGCCGCGUGGGGGAUGACGGCCUUCGGGUUGUAAACUCCUUUCGACCGCGAGGAAGCCACCUGGUUGGAAGGGUGGUGUCGGUAGUGGUAGAAGAAGCACCGGCUAACUACGUG